rnacentral:tRNA from 1 species
GUUAUUAUAGCUUACUAUCAAGCAUAGCACUGAAAAUGCUAAGACGGCAUUCACCUGAUAACA